rnacentral:rRNA from 1 species
CAGCAGCCACGGUAAUACGGAGGGAGCUAGCGUUGUUCGGAAUUACUGGGCGUAAAGCGCGCGUAGGCGGUUACUCAAGUCAGAGGUGAAAGCCCGGGGCUCAACCCCGGAACUGCCUUUGAAACUAGGUGACUAGAAUCUUGGAGAGGUCAGUGGAAUUCCGAGUGUAGAGGUGAAAUUCGUAGAUAUUCGGAAGAACACCAGUGGCGAAGGCGACUGACUGGACAAGUAUUGACGCUGAGGUGCGAAAGCGUGGGGAGCAAACAGGAUUAGAUACCCGCGUAGUCCCUGUCUCUUAUAU